rnacentral:rRNA from 1 species
GAUGAACGCUAGCGGCAGGCUUAAUACAUGCAAGUCGAGGGGCAGCAUGAAUGUAGCAAUACAUUUGAUGGCGACCGGCAAACGGGUGCGGAACACGUACACAACCUUCCUAUAAGCGGGGAAUAGCCCAGAGAAAUUUGGAUUAAUACCCCGUAACAUAAUGAUGUGGCAUCACAUUAUUAUUAUAGCUACGGCGCUUAUUGAUGGGUGUGCGGCUGAUUAGAUAGUUGGCGGGGUAACGGCCCACUAAGUCUACGAUCAGUAGCUGAUGUGAGAGCAUGAUCAGCCACACGGGCACUGAGACACGGGCCCGACUCCUACGGGAGGCAGCAGUAAGGAAUAUUGGUCAAUGGACGCAAGUCUGAACCAGCCAUGCCGCGUGAAGGAUUAAGGUCCUCUGGAUUGUAAACUUCUUUUAUCUGGGACGAAAAAAGGCGAUUCUUCGUCACUUGACGGUACCAGAUGAAUAAGCACCGGCUAACUCCGUGCCAGCAGCCGCCGUAAUAC